CGAAUUAAGCAUUUUUUUAUUUAUUUAUAAUUGAUUAGUAAAAAAUACUAUCAUUAUAUAUAUUAGCUUUUCACUAAAUAUACCAAACAACAAACAUGGCGUUUUUCCACAUGGCGUUGAAAAAAAAAUAUGGUUGCUAUCUUUACACUAGAGAAGGGGUUCAUAUUUCAAUAUUUUUAUACGGUGUAAAUUUUAAGAAAAUAAGUUAUAUGUGAUUAAAAUUAGCAUCAUAAGUAUACAACUUAAUAUUACGCGACAAUAUAUUGGCACCAUUCGUGCGUAUAGUGGCGGGAAACAUUUUUUUCUAAAGGAAUUUUUUGGUUCCAUAAAAUGUUUUUGGGUUCAUGAAUCAAACGUUUAUCGUCUAUUGCAACGUCUAACUUCUCUAUUGAGGAAGUCUCAACUUAUUGUUGAUAAAAUAAUAGUUUUAUUUUUAUUUUAUUAAAAUAAAAUGAAUACUUACUGUUCAAUUGAAAUAUAAGCCGCAAAUUGUUGUUAAAAACUGUUUUAUAUUAAAUGUUAUUUUAAAAGUUAAGUAAUAUAGUAUUUUUAUGUAA